rnacentral:rRNA from 1 species
UACGGAGGUGGCAAGCGUUGUUCGGAAUUACUGGGCGUAAAGGGCGCGUAGGCGGCUAGGCAAGUCAGAUGUGAAAGCCCCGGGCUUAACUCGGGAAUUGCAUCUGAAACUGCUGGGCUUGAGUUCUGGAGGGGGUAGUGGAAUUCCCAGUGUAGCGGUGAAAUGCGUAGAUAUCUGGAGGAACACCGGUGGCGAAGGCGGCAUCCUGGACCGGCAUUGACGCUGAGGCGCGAAAGCGUGGGGAGCAAACAGGG